UGCUUAACACAUCAAGUCGAACGCUGAAGCUCCAGCUUGCUGGGGUGGAUGAGUGGCGAACGGGUGAGUAACACGUGAGUAACCUUCCCUUGACUCUGGGAUAAGCCCGGGAAACUGGGUCUAAUACCGGAUAUGACCUCCUGUCGCAUGGUGGGGGGUGGAAAGAUUUAUCGGUCUUGGAUGGACUCGCGGCCUAUCAGCUUGUUGGUGAGGUAAUGGCUCACCAAGGCGACGACGGGUAGCCGGCCUGAGAGGGUGACCGGCCACACUGGGACUGAGACACGGCCCAGACUCUACGGGAGGCAGCAGUGGGGAAUAUUGCACAAUGGGCGCAAGCCUGAUGCAGCGACGCCGCGUGAGGGAUGACGGCUUCGGGUUGUAAACCUCUUUCAGUAGGGAAGAAGCUUUCGGGUGACGGUACCUGCAGAAGAAGCGCCGGCUAACUACGUGCCAGCAGCCGCGGUAAUACGUAGGGCGCGAGCGUUAUCCGGAAUUAUUGGGCGUAAAGAGCUCGUAGGCGGUUUGUCGCGUCUGCCGUGAAAGUCCGGGGCUUAACCCCGGAUCUGCGGUGGGUACGGGCAGACUAGAGUGCAGUAGAGGGAGACCGGAAUUCCUGGUGUAGCGUGAAAUGCGCAGAUAUCAGGAGGAACACGAUGGCGAAGGCAGAUCU
rnacentral:rRNA from 1 species